rnacentral:rRNA from 1 species
AGCGAACGCUGGAGGCAAGCUUAACACAUGCAAGUCGAGCGCUGUAGCAAUACAGAGCGGCGGACGGGUGCGUAACACGUGGGAAUCUGCCUUUAGGUUUGGAAUAACUCAGGGAAACUUGAGCUAAUACCGUAUAAUGUCUUCGGACCAAAGAUUUAUCGCCUAAAGAUGAGCCCGCGGUAGAUUAGCUAGUUGGUGAGGUAAUGGCUCACCAAGGCUACGAUCUAUAGCUGGUCUAAGAGGAUGAUCAGCCACACUGGGACUGAGACACGGCCCAGACUCCUACGGGAGGCAGCAGUGGGGAAUAUUGGGCAAUGGGCGAAAGCCUGACCCAGCUAUGUCGCGUGAAUGAUGAAGGCCUUAGGGUUGUAAAGUUCUUUUACCAGGGACGAUGAUGACGGUACCUGGAGAAAAAGCCCCGGCAAACUUCGUGCCAGCCGCCGCCGUAA